UACGUAGGGGGCGAGCGUUAUCCGGAUUCAUUGGGCGUAAAGCGCGCGUAGGCGGCCGCCUAAGCGGAACCUCUAACCCCGGGGCUCAACCUCGGGCCGGGUUCCGGACUGGGCGGCUCGAGUGCGGUAGAGGAGAGCGGAAUUCCCGGUGUAGCGGUGGAAUGCGCAGAUAUCGGGAAGAACACCGAUGGCGAAGGCAGCUCUCUGGGCCGUCACUGACGCUGAGGCUCGAAAGCGUGGGGAGCAAACAGG
rnacentral:rRNA from 1 species